CCUAGCUCUGACCAUCGCAAUCGUUAAAUAGAUCAUGUGGUUCUAUCUCUGUUUUUGACUCCAAAAAUAGAUGGUCUUAAACAAGCACAAUACAAGGACAUUGACAAACAUUAUUUUGAUCAGCUAGUCCAGCUUAAGGUAAAUCUUUAAAAUUUUAGACAACUGAGAUGGCAAACAACGACCUGGAUAGAUACUGCGUACAAUACCCCCUGCUUUUGUUGCAUUACAUCAGAUAAUUCCUCAAUUUAUAACACUAUAACUCUCAUAUGCCAUGAGAGAGGCUAAAUAGAAAAUAGGGCCAAUUUAAAUGGAACAGAGGGAUUGUUUGUUUC